UCAACAGGCUAUUGGGAGUUGAUGGACGUUUUAAGUGGCGAGGCUUACCCGGAGGCAAUGAGUCUUUGGGGAUAUGACUUUGGGGACUAUACUUUGCUUCUGCUUUCUCCUCUUUCUUUGCUUCCCAGACACUAUCCUGUGCUACACUGGCUCCUUUCUGUUGUCACAUCUGGCUUGACGUCAGGCCCCAACACUGAACCAAAGGCACCGCAGGCUGACAUUUCUGAAAUCUGAGCCAGAGUUAAUUUUUCUUCUGAGUUGUUCAUUUCAGGUGUUCUUUCACAGUGGUGGACGCUAACACAUCUUGAUGCGGGCUUUGGUUGGCUCCCCAUCUUGGCUGCUAUGAACAAGGCUGGAGUACGCCUUUCCUUUGGUCAUAUACAAGGGAUUGUCAGAUCAUCUGUCUUCUCACAAGAGCACCAGUCUUACGGAUUAGGACCUGACCUCAUGCACACCUUCCCUUCACCUUAACUUCCUCACUGGAAAAUUUCUCUUCAAACACAAUCACAUUCUGAAGUACAAGUCCAGGGCUGAGCCCAUAAACUGGCUCCACUACCCACAUCCGGUUAAUAUUGAUGGACAGUCAUCAGAUUCCCCUGCAGACAUGCCCACGGCACAACAUGAUCUAGAUACUUCUUCAGUUGAGACUCU